rnacentral:rRNA from 1 species
GACGAACGCUGGCGGCGUGCUUAACACAUGCAAGUCGAACGGUAAGGCCCCUCGGGGUACACGAGUGGCGAACGGGUGAGUAAAACGUAGGUGAUCUGCCCUGCACUUCGGGAUAAGCCUGGGAAACUGGGUCUAAUACCGGCAAGGACCACUGCCUGCAUGGGUGGGGGGGGAAAGCUUUUGCGGUGUGGGAUGGGCCCGCGGGCUAUCAGCUUGGUGGUGGGGUGAUGGCCUACCAAGGCGACGACGGGUAGCCGGCCUGAGAGGGUGACCGGCCACACUGGGACUGAGAUACGGCCCAGACUCCUACGGGAGGCAGCAGUGGGGAAUAUUGCACAAUGGGCGCAAGCCUGAUGCAGCGACGCCGCGUGAGGGAUGACGGCCUUCGGGUUGUAAACCUCUUUCAGCACCGACGAAGCGCAAGUGACGGUAGGUGCAGAAGAAGGACCGGCCAACUACGUGCCAGCCGCCGCGGUAAAAC